rnacentral:rRNA from 1 species
UCCGUAGGUGAACCUGCGGAAGGAUCAUUAACGCGUCUCCUCGGGGUUCGGACGCCCUGCUCCGGUCUCCCGGCCGUGCAGCGGGCCCCCCCGUUCCCCUUCAACCCCAAACCCCCUGUGCACUUUUUCGGGGCAGAGGGUGGGGCGGGAGCCCGCCGGAACUUGCGGUUUUUCCCAGACCCCGGUGAUUAGAACGUGCAGCGGAGGACGUUCCGCCCAAUAAACUUGACAACUUUCAACAACGGAUCUCUUGGCUCUCGCAUCGAUGAAGAACGCAGCGAAAUGCGAUAAGUAAUGUGAAUUGCAGAAUUCAGUGAAUCAUCGAAUCUUUGAACGCACCUUGCGCUCCUUGGUAUUCCGAGGAGCAUGCCUGUUUGAGUGUCUUGAAGUCAUCAAACCCGUCCGCUUUUGCGGCGAGGUUUGGAUCUGGGGGCCUGCUGCCGAGAGGCGGCUCCCCUCAAAUGCGUCGGUUGGGCCUGCGGGUUCAAACUCGACCGGGCGUUGUACCAUCCUCGCUCCAAACGAGUAAGCCGCGACCGAACCAGGACCGCCUGUGGAGCGGCGGUCAGCUCGCACUUUUGAAAUCUGACCUCAAAUCAGGUAGGACUACCCGCUGAACUUAAGCAUAUCAAUAAGCGG